rfam:Myotis lucifugus cont2.72023, whole genome shotgun sequence.
GGUGGUUCUCGGGUAAUGCACCCUGGAAUCAUCCUCUCUGGUUCCGGGUGGGUCACCCAAGAACUGCA